UACAGAGGGUGCAAGCGUUAAUCGGAGUUACUGGGCGUAAAGGGCGCGUAGGCGGUUGUUCAAGUAAGAUGUGAAAUCCCCGGGCUUAACCUGGGAACAGCAUUUUAAACUGGGCAACUGGAGUGCAGUAGAGGGUGGUGGAAUUUCCGGUGUAGCGGUGAAAUGCGUAGAGAUCGGAAGGAACAUCAGUGGCGAAGGCGACCACCUGGACUGAGACUGACGCUGAGGCGCGAAAGCGUGGGGAGCAAACAGG
rnacentral:rRNA from 1 species